rnacentral:siRNA from 1 species
UCAACACCCUCCACCUCAGCUUUC